GAACGGCCGGGCCUCGAAGAUGUGAUUUUUAAAGUAAAGAUUAAACAUUUGCAGGUACACGCUGAAGGCUUUGUGCAAACAGCACCCAAAGCAGAGAUGGGACAAAAACCAAACCUCAAGUCUAGCUCCAGAAGAAACUUGAUGAACGACGCAUUUGGAUUAUGGCAGUAGUCACAUCUUUUGCACACUGGUUAUGAUUUCUACUUUCUCAAGAGGGCUUUGGAAGAG
rnacentral:lncRNA from 1 species